rnacentral:pre_miRNA from 2 species
AUUUGCCUGGCUCCCUGGAUGCCAUUUAAGAAAAUAAUGUCAAGGUUUUGACUACUCUUCUUAUAUGGCACCUGAGGAGUCAGGCAAAC